rfam:Asian citrus Psyllid, Diaphorina citri - Florida Strain, whole genome shotgun sequence.
GUCAGAGGCGAAAGCACGUUGAAUGCACCAGUUCUCAAUGGAACACUGGUCCAGCAACGUUGCGUGUGGUUGAUACGGGUAUGGAUGACCAUCAGGUUAAUGGCGUGCUGCUGGCU